rnacentral:rRNA from 1 species
CCUACGGGAGGCAGCAGUAGGGAAUCUUCCGCAAUGGACGAAAGUCUGACGGAGCAACGCCGCGUGAGCGAUGAAGGCCUUCGGGUCGUAAAGCUCUGUUGUCAGGGAAGAACAAGUAUCGGAGUAACUGCCGGUACCUUGACGGUACCUGACCAGAAAGCCACGGCUAACUACGUGCCAGCAGCCGCGGUAAUACGUAGGUGGCAAGCGUUGUCCGGAAUUAUUGGGCGUAAAGCGCGCGCAGGCGGUUCCUUAAGUCUGAUGUGAAAGCCCCCGGCUCAACCGGGGAGGGUCAUUGGAAACUGGGGAACUUGAGUGCAGAAGAGGAGAGCGGAAUUCCACGUGUAGCGGUGAAAUGCGUAGAGAUGUGGAGGAACACCAGUGGCGAAGGCGGCUCUCUGGUCUGUAACUGACGCUGAGGCGCGAAAGCGUGGGGAGCGAACAGGAUUAGAUACCCUGGUAGUCCACGCCGUAAACGAUGAGUGCUAAGUGUUAGAGGGUUUCCGCCCUUUAGUGCUGCAGCAAACGCAUUAAGCACUCCGCCUGGGGAGUACGGCCGCAAGGCUGAAACUUAAAGGAAUUGACGG